GGGCUUGUGGUUUAGUGGUAUAAUACUCCCUUAGCAUCUGAUGGCGCUCUUCUGAGAAGCCCAUGGAGAAAUUGGAAUUUGGGAGUGGUCCGGGGUUCGAUUCCCCGCGAGUCCA
rnacentral:tRNA from 1 species